UUUAGAGUUUGAUCCAUGGCUCAGAUUGAACGCUGGCGGCGUGCUUAACACAUGCAAGUCGAACGGUAACAGGCCCUUCGGGGCGCUGACGAGUGGCGGACGGGUGCGUAAUGCUUAGGAAUCUGCCCUGUAGUGGGGGAUAACCCGGGGAAACUCGGGCUAAUACCGCAUGUACUCUAAGGAGUAAAGCGGGGGACCUUCGGGCCUCGCGCUAUAGGAUGAGCCUAAGUCCGAUUAGCUAGUUGGUGGGGUAAUGGCCUACCGAGGCGACGAUCGGUAGCUGGUCUGAGAGGACGACCAGCCACACUGGGACUGAGACACGGCCCAGACUCCUACGGGAGGCAGCAGUGGGGAAUAUUGGACAAUGGGGGGAAACCCUGAUCCAGCGACACGCGUGGGUGAAGAAGGCCUGCGGGUUGUAAAGCCCUUUCAGUCGGGAAGAAAAACCAAAGGAUAAUACCUUUUGGUCUUGACGUACUGACAGAAGAAGCACCG
rnacentral:rRNA from 1 species